UACGUAGGGUGCGAGCGUUGUCCGGAAUUAUUGGGCGUAAAGGGCUCGUAGGCGGUUUGUCGCGUCGGGAGUGAAAUCCACUGGCUUAACUGGUGGCUUGCUUUCGAUACGGGCAGACUGGAGGUAUGCAGGGGAGAACGGAAUUCCUGGUGUAGCGGUGAAAUGCGCAGAUAUCAGGAGGAACACCGGUGGCGAAGGCGGUUCUCUGGGCCGGUACUGACGCUGAGUGAGCGAAAGCCAGGGGAGCAAACGGG
rnacentral:rRNA from 1 species